AAAGCGUUCCAGACAGUCGCCGCCGCCGCAAGGCGGGGGAGGAAAGUCCGGACUCCACAGGGCAGGGUGAUGGCUAACGGCCAUCCGUGGCAACACGCGGAACAGGGCAACAGAAAGCAAACCGCCGAUGGCCCCGGGCUUCGGUCCGGCGGAUCAGGUAAGGGUGAAACGGUGCGGUAAGAGCGCACCGCGGCUGCGGUGACGUGGCCGGCACGGUAACCUCCACCCGGAGCAAUUCCAAAUAGGCAGGCACGGCGACCUUCGGGGCGCCAGGACGGGGCCCCCGUUCGCCUGCGGGUAGGGAGCUCGAGCGCGUCAGCAAUGACGCGUCUAGAUGAAUGACUGUCACGCGCUUUCGGGCGCGCACAGAAUCCGGCUUAUCGGAACGCUUUGCCC
rnacentral:RNase_P_RNA from 1 species